AUAUUCCACAAUGGGCGCAAGCCUGAUGGAGCGACGCCGCGUGAGGGACGAAGCCCUUUGGGGUGUAAACCUCUUUUAGAAGGGAUGAAACGGUGGGGUAACCCACCUAAGACAGUACCUUCUGAAUAAGCCUCGGCUAACUACGUGCCAGCAGCCGCGGUAAUACGUAGGAGGCGAGCGUUGGCCGGAUUUACUGGGCGUAAAGCGCGCGCAGGCGGCAGUGCAAGUAAGGUGUGAAAUCUCCCUGCUCAACGGGGAGGGUGCACUUUAGACUGCACAGCUCGAGGUCGGUAGAGGGGGGUGGAAUUGCUGGUGUAGCGGUGAAAUGCGUAGAGAUCAGCAGGAACACCCGUGGCGAAGGCGGCCCCCUGGGCCGUACCUGACGCUGAGGCGCGAAGGCUAGGGGAGCGAAC
rnacentral:rRNA from 1 species